UUUAAAAUUAGUUACAAUUUUAGAGAAUAUGUAAGUUUAUGUACUAUUUUCUUUUAUGUAUUUUAAUUGCAUUGUUAUUUUUAGAAGUAUCACAUUGGACUUGUACUCCUUGAGACAUUGCAGACUUCUGUUAAGAAUCACAGUCAUAGGAGAAAAGGGCUAUGUUUUGAUGACAGAAAACGAUAUAUAAAGAUACUGUAUAUGUUUAAUGGUAAAUUUAGAUUAUCUUUCCAAAAGAUGGAUGUAAAUCCAAAUUUGAACUUCUGUGUCCACCAUCAAAACACCGGGUAAAAUAACACAAGAGAAUUCAAGCUUUUUUUCCAGUCAGGCAAUCUGUCAUCACUGUAAGCACUGCUAUCUGCUCUGCAGAUUUCCACUGCCAGUCCUGCGCUCAGUGGCCAUCUGCCAGUCCUCUCUAAUUGCUAUCCAGCUUAUACCACUAGUCACUCACUCCUCUUUCAGGUCUGCAGGAUCCUACUUUGUGAAGUCAUCUAGUUCUCUACCUAUAAUCAUCACUCUGAAGGAUAUCCCACAAUCUUCUUCCUCAAAUGAUGUGCCCUUCUGCAAGAUAUUACCCUACAGAUUGAAGUAAGAAAGUAUAAAGCAGGUAACAAUGAAUGAAGUAAAUACUACUCAUUGGAUUUGCAAAUUAAUAGCUCAAAUAAGAUAGAAAAUUUUGGUAAUAUAUAUAUAGCCCCUAAUUGUCUGAGACGUACUCGGUUUGCUUAGAGCUAUCUGUAAAAGAUUGCUCAGACAGACCCUUUGAAAUAUUUUGGCAGAAUUAAACAGAAAAACUAAGAAGAAUUAUUUUGGUUUUCUGAGCUCAUGUGCUUUAAAAAUUUGACUUCUAAAUAGCCUCAAAAAGAACUUACUGCUUGUCUUUUUCACCACGUAAUUAAUUCUUUUUCCAAGCAAGAUGCUACAAUGGAAACAGUAACAGACCAAGCAUUUGAACAAAGUCCUUGCUAUCUCUUAAAAACUUGCUAUUACCUGGUACAAUAGGACACUGAAGCAUUUAAAUACACUCUGGAUUAGUUCCUUCAUGCACCUACUAAACUGUUUGGAAAGACCAACCUUUUAAAAUUGUGGGUACUAUGGUAACUGGAUAUUUCAAGGUGUCAUGGAGACAGACUACUCUUCUCCUGAGAUGCCAGUCUAUUUGAGUCUGCUGUGAAAAAGCACAAGAGAGGCUU
rnacentral:lncRNA from 1 species